AUUUGUGUUUGACAAGGAAUAAGAUUAAAAAAGGUUUAUCAUCGAGCCAUAUUUGAGUUGCUAAUUUCUUAGAAUUCAUAUCAAAAUGUAACGUUACUAAGUAUAAAUCAUCGAGAAGAGUUUUUUCCUCUCUCUCUCUUCUCUCAUCUAUAUCUUUGAGAGAGAGAGUUUUUCUCUUCAAUUUUCCUGUAAAUUCCGAUUAAAAUCGGAUCUAUCUUUCGUUUUACGGAUAAUAAUUCCGACUUGUUCGGAUUUGUGUUCAUCUGUAGCUAUGAAUUACUUUGUUAUCUUUCAUGUUGAUUCCUUUUUUAAACUUUAUCACUAUUCCUUAGUGGAGUGAUAAAUUUCAUUGAAUUAGAGGAAUCGAUGUUCUUUAUGCUUCUGCAAUGGUUUUCUAGCUUAAUCAGGUGUUGUCUUGCCCAUGUCUCCUCUGAAAUCGGGUUCCUCUUUUAUUGAGGCGGUGGUGAUUGAUUCUGGUGGUAACUCUCAGAGCUCUUCUUCUUCAGCUUGUGGUAUCAUGCUCUCAUGGCUGGGAGAGUAAGAUCUCCCUAGAUUCCCCUUUUUAAAGCCUUGUUUCAGGCAGUGGGUGACUGGUUGUGAGUCAAAGAUGAUCGGCUUUGCUUUAAUCGGAGAUUAAAAGUUUCUGGGCAUUAUACAUGGGAUCUCUACGGAGGAGCCAAUGAACGGUGAAGGAGCAGCGGUUUGUUCAAGGAGGAUGCUAGAUCCGAUUGGAGGUCAUGCUCUUCGGAUAUUCGGUUUUCAGGCGAAGCUCUGUAUCAGGCGAAGCUCUUCGGCAUCUUCUCUCUGUUAACCGACAUUCAUCCCAAGGCUUUUCCACGUGUUUCUACGUGUCUUUUGUUCAUUAAUCCUUAUCUCAUAUGUUAAGGGCUUUAAUUAGGUUUUUAUUUGUAAAAGUUUUGGGCUUCGAAAAUGUUUGUAUCUUUAGCUCGUUCUGGGCUUUCAUAAUAAUAUGUAAGAUGGCAAAAAAAAAAUAUAAAUCGUCAAAUUAUAAAAGAAUCAGAUUUUCAAAAAAAAA
rnacentral:lncRNA from 1 species